UACGUAGGUGACAAGCGUUGUCCGGAUUUACUGGGCGUAAAGAGCGCGCAGGCGGUCGAUCAAGUCGAGUGUGAAAGCCCCCGGCUCAACUGGGGAGGGUCAUUCGAUACUGAUCGACUCGAAGGCAGGAGAGGGUAGUGGAAUUCCCGGUGUAGUGGUGAAAUGCGUAGAUAUCGGGAGGAACACCAGUGGCGAAGGCGGUUCUCUGGGAAUGACCUGACGCUGAGGAGCGAAAGUGUGGGGAGCGAACAGG
rnacentral:rRNA from 1 species